rnacentral:rRNA from 1 species
AGUCGAACGAUGAAGCUUGGAGCUUGCUCUGGGUGGAUUAGUGGCGAACGGGUGAGUAAUACGUGAGUAACCUGCCCUUCACUUCGGGAUAAGCCUUGGAAACGGGGUCUAAUACCGGGUAUUCCGCUUUAACCGCAUGGUUGUUGUGGGAAAGUUUUUUUGGGUGAGGGAUGGGCUCGCGGCCUAUCAGCUUGUUGGUGGGGUGAUGGCCUACCAAGGCUUCGACGGGUAGCCGGCCUGAGAGGGUGACCGGCCACAUUGGGACUGAGAUACGGCCCAGACUCCUACGGGAGGCAGCAGUGGGGGAUAUUGCACAAUGGGCGAAAGCCUGAUGCAGCGACGCCGCGUGGGGGAUGAAGGCUUUCGGGUUGUAAACCUCUUUUGGCAGGGAAGAAGCUUUUUGUGACGGUACCUGCAGAAGAAGCGCCGGCUAACUACGUGCCAGCAGCCGCGGUAAUACGUAGGGCGCGAGCGUUGUCCGGAAUUAUUGGGCGUAAAGAGCUCGUAGGCGGCUUGUUGCGCCUGCUGUGAAAACGCGGGGCUUAACUCCGUGCGUGCAGUGGGUACGGGCAGGCUAGAGUGCGGUAGGGGUGACUGGAAUUCCUGGUGUAGCGGUGGAAUGCGCAGAUAUCAGGAGGAACACCGAUGGCGAAGGCAGGUCACUGGGCCGUUACUGACGCUGAGGAGCGAAAGCAUGGGGAGCGAACAGGAUUAGAUACCCUGGUAGUCCAUGCCGUAAACGUUGGGCACUAGGUGUGGGGGCCUUUCCGGGUUUCUGCGCCGUAGCUAACGCAUUAAGUGCCCCGCCUGGGGAGUACGGCCGCAAGGCUAAAACUCAAAGGAAUUGACGGGGGCCCGCACAAGCGGCGGAGCAUGCGGAUUAAUUCGAUGCAACGCGAAGAACCUUACCAAGGCUUGACAUAUACGGGAGCAUUCCAGAGAUGGGGUGGCCUUCGGGCUCGUAUACAGGUGGUGCAUGGUUGUCGUCAGCUCGUGUCGUGAGAUGUUGGGUUAAGUCCCGCAACGAGCGCAACCCUUGUCCUGUGUUGCCAGCGGGUUCGGCCGGGGACUCACGGGAGACUGCCGGGGUUAACUCGGAGGAAGGUGGGGAUGACGUCAAAUCAUCAUGCCCCUUAUGUCUUGGGCUUCACGCAUGCUACAAUGGCCGGUACAGAGGGUUGCGAUGCCGUGAGGCGGAGCGAAUCCCUUAAAGCCGGUCUCAGUUCGGAUUGGGGUCUGCAACUCGACCCCAUGAAGUCGGAGUCGCUAGUAAUCGCGGAUCAGCAACGCCGCGGUGAAUACGUUCUCGGGCCUUGUACACACCGCCCGUCACGUCACGAAAGUCGGCAACACCCGAAGC